GGAUGUGAAGGUUGUCAGCUGUGACACCCGACACCCAUUGAUCCCCGGGGUUAAUUCCACUGACCUGGCCAGGCAGGGGUCCCCUUCCUCCUUCAGCUCUCUGUUUGUCUCCCCUGGAGCUGUGAGCUUGGUCAAAGAGAAGGACUAUCAUGGAUAGAAGUACAAGUAGCUACACUCCCCUGCUAGAACCUCCAAACUAGCUCUCAAAGAUGCAGGUCUGGUGACACUCCUCACACGCCAUGCCUGCAUUGCAACUUGGGCCUGAUCCCUGGCCCCUGGU
rnacentral:snRNA from 1 species